AAUACCUUCCUCAAGAGAUUGUGCACUUUGAAAUCCACAAAAGCAUUAUCUGAAAAAUGUAACCAUUCUCCCUUUUGUCUUUCUCUGAGGGUUACAUGGCAGGACAGUGGACUAACCAACAGGCAGCCCGGGUGCCCACUGGCAUCCACAGAAUGCACAAGCUCCCGCAAAGAAAUUCAUCUGAAGGCAAACAGGCUACAAGGCCUUAAGAAAGACCACUUGAAGCUCUGUGCCCUAGAUGAUAAUAUUGAAAUGGACUGGGACUCAAGAAGAGUAAGGUAUAGGUCCUGCCAUCAUGGACGCUUCACUAAACCUCAAUUUCCUCAUCUAUGAAGUGGGAAUAAGGAUACUGGUAAUCACAGGUGGUUGAAAGGACCCAUUGAGAGAAGGUAUGGAAAGCCUUUUAGCUCCAAUAAAUGCUGCCUGCCCAUUCCUUGCUCCA
rnacentral:lncRNA from 1 species